UUUGUUAUUGACAAAACAGAAAUUAAUCCAAUGUUCAAAAUGGUGUUUGAAUUAUGGACCAGUCAUCAGUGCUCAAUCCAAGUCUAAGAAUGAAAAACAUGUAAGAACUGAAAUGGAAGGCUUCCUUUUCUGGGGAACAAAAGAAGAAAAAAAGAGAACUGAAUUACAACUACCUUGUAAAUUUGAUUUAUCAAAUAGGAUGAAAACAAACAAAUUUAGCUUAUGUCCUUUUAUUUUAUUCUUUUCCUCUUCAUUCCCAUCCCCCUCUAAAAUUUAUGAUGCAAACAUAGUUUGAAUAUUAUAUAUAAAAAGAAGGUAAAUAGUCAAAAUGUUCAAGCUAUGGAAUUUUGGAACAUGCCUUCCUAUAAUUUUGCAACAAAAUGGUGCAUGCACUUUUAUUUCCCCUAAAUUUUUUGCUUUGAAAACCAAUUCUUGGAUACUACCUGUCCAUGCUGCUUGAUAGAACAUAAUUUAGAUCUCAAGCUCACUCAAGUCAAUUGGAAAACAUUACACAUCAGAUUCAACUAGCUUAGAAAAUAGUCUGUCUUGGUCUUGAAGCACAACCUAACUAGUUAGGAUUUCGCUUAAAGGUGAUAAAUUGAUAAAAUAUUACAGUGUGGUAAUUUAUAUUUGAAAUCUUUUACAAUUAUGUUUCAAUCAUGUCAUAAUUUGUUAAAAAGAUGAUGAGUACUUAAUUUAUUUAUAUUAAUUCAAUCCAUAUUAUUUUUAUAAAGAUUAAAAAUGUCAGAUGUUAACUCUGAAGCACCAGUUAACUCUGAAGCACCCGUUAACUCUCAAGUACCAUUUGAGAGUGAUGCGUCACAACAUUCAUCGCCAGCUACGAACGCACCUACGAACUCACCGUCUCCCCUCUCUAAUCAACAUGUUAUUGAUUUAGAAGAGUCUAAUACUACUUGUGGAGGAACUAAAAGAAAACCAAGUAUUGUGUGGGAACAUUUUAAAAAACAACAAGUCAAUGGGGUGUGGAAGGCAAUAUGUAAUUAUUGUAAUAAGCAUCUUGAAGGUGAUUCAAAAAAUGGAACCAGGCAUUUGCAUGAUUACCAUGGAAUAAUUUCACUAUUGAAUUUAUAUUCUUUACUUUUUAGGAAAUUCAACAUUGGAAUCGGUGGGCUAUGUAACUAUAUAUGAUUAUGAUGAGAUGGAGUCGGAUCAGUCAUGUGCCACUUUUGUGAGUUCAAGUUGAAGGAGAUGAUGGAAGUUGUGUGGUUUGUAUGGGUUUGAAGAAACAAUGGAUUUGCUUUUUUUGUUGUAAUGGAUAUUUUUAUUUUUAUUUUUAAUUUCAAUUUUUGGGUAACCUAUCCCUUGCGGGUUGUGCUUGGGAUUAAUUAUUUUCUUUGCUACUUGUUGAAUUUUCUUGUGUGCUGCUGGACACAUGUUUUGGUUGUGUUA